GUGCUGGAAUCAGAUUGGUGAGGAAGACCUGCUCCUGAGGCAACUGGCCUGCCUCCCGGCUUCUUUCUCCAAGGUAAUGAAAAAGCCAAGCUGGGAAGGCAGGCUGGUGACAAGUAUGGUCCCUGCGCAUUCCUCGGGCUGACGGCCAUUUCAAUUUAAGAAAACAAAAGAUGAUCCUGUGAACACUGUAUCAGGCAUCAUUACUGGACUGAAAAAAGGAUCACUUGAUGGACAUGCCUGGCGUUUUGUUUAGAAGUAUUUCUUCUCUGGCCUUAGAAGAUUAGUUUUCAAAGCGAUGGUAAAAUCAUUGAUGUAUGUCUUUUCAAGAAAAAGAAAAAAAAAAGACUCCUAAAUGCCAAACAUUUGCUCUUUGGAGCAUAGCAAGAAGAAAGGGAGAGGACCAGACGGCCACAUCCUAAGAACAGAGUAUUGUCCAGGAAGAAGAAAGGAAAAAAAGAAGAAAGGAAGGAGGAGAGAGAAGGAAGAAGGGCGGAACGCAUAGAGAAAAGGGGAAAGGAAUGAAGAAAGGAAGAGGAGAACUAAAGAAAGAGCAAAAUUAACUCAGAAGACGGAAUUAAUGGUUAAAUCAG
rnacentral:lncRNA from 1 species